rnacentral:lncRNA from 1 species
AAUAGCCAAAGGUCUUCCACAACUUGAAAGCCUUUUAGUUCAACAAUGUGGGGUGGAGGAGAUUGUUUCAAAGAAUGAAGGAUUAGAACAGGAAAUUCGGUUUGAAUUUAAUCAGUUAUCCUUCCUUAAGCUUUGGAAAUUAACAAACCUCAAAUGUUUUUACCCAGGAAUGCACACCAUUGUGUGGCCGGUGUUAAAAAAUUUGAAGACGCAUGGGUGUGAGGAGAUAAAGAUAUUUGGUCAAUUAGAAGCCCAUAUCCAAAAAUCACUUUUUGUGAUUGAAAAGGUAUGAGACUUUACUCUCUCUUUGGAUAUACUCAUUUAUUUUACUUAAGUCAUCCAGUACCUUAAUAAUGCACCCAAUUUUUCAUUGGAAAAAUAAAAAAAUUAAAUAAAAUAAUCAUUUGGUUCUGAUCUUAUCCUAUGUAAAUUAUAAUCUUUGACAAUUAAAAGUUUUAGUUCUCGGAAUAUUAUUAAUAGGACUAGAUAUUAUUUUAUUUUCAUAAUUUAAUAUACAUAUGUUUUAUUUUUGACAUUGAAUGUCAUUGAUACAUUUGGACCAACCCUAGAGGAUUGGGUCAUUUAUCUUUCAUAAUUUAAUCCCAUUGUUCUUGUGUGUUGACUUCUCAGAUCAUCCCUCAAUUGGAGGAAGUGUCAUUUAGCAGUGAUGAUAUUGCAAUGAUAUGUGAUGGCCAGUUUGCGUCACACUUCUUUUGCCACAUAAAACUCCUUCAAAUUACUUGCUACCUCGAUGAAUCGGCAGUUUUUCCCUUUUUUUUCCUCCAAAGAUUUUACAAUCUGGAAAUGCUUCAGGUGUUUGGUUGCAACUUCAAAGAGCUAUCUCCUUACGAAAGAAAUGUUGGUAAGGAUAAAGAAGUCCGGAUGCUCUCAAAACUUAGAAAGUUGAAAUUGGAUUCUCUACAAAAGAUAAUACAUGUAUGGAAGCGAGACUCACCGCUGGGUCAUAUGUGUGCAAGUCUUGAAACUCUUGAAGUUUGGAAAUGUGACAGUUUGAUUAAUUUAGGAGUAUCAUCCGCAUCUUUUGAUAAUCUUAUAAGCUUAGAUGUCUGGAAAUGUAAAGGGAUAGUAGAGUUGAUAACAUCUUCCGAAGCCCAAAGUUUGGUGCGUCUUGUCACAAUGAGGAUAAGAGAAUGUGAAAUGAUGAAAGAAGUAGUUGGGAGAGAGGAAGAUGAAUCAACAUAUGAGAUUAUUUUCAGAGAGUUGAAACAUGUGGAACUUCAUUGUUUACCAAGCCUCAGAAGCUUCUGUUCAGGGAAUUCCAGCUUCAAGUUCCCAUCACUGGAACAAGUGAUUGUGAGCCAAUGUCCUAGAUUGAAGAGCUUCUGUCUUGGUGCUUUAAGCACACCAAAAUUACAAAGAGUACAACUAGAGUCAACGGAUUAUAAGGGGCGUUGGGCUGGUGACCUUGGUGCCACCGUAAAACAGUUACAUCAAGAAAAGGUGUGUUAUCUGACUCUUAUAUAAACUAUCAACACAAUUUAACUUGUGAACAAUCAAAUUACUCCUUGAACUAAGAAUCUAUAUUAUUUAAUUUAUGUUUUAACAAUUUCUUUUUUAGAAAAUGAAAGCAAAUAAUAAAGAAAGAUUAUAAAAGCAGCUACCAACUAAUUUAGGUUUUAAUAUUAGUUUCUUUUGCCAAUUCUUUUGUCAUUCACUUUUUUGCAUCUUUGAAAGUUGUCGUGCACCAAUAGUAAAAAAUUGAAAACAUAGUUAUAGAAAGAUUGACAAAAAACGAGAGUUUGAUAUCGUGAUUAUUUUUAUUGAUGAAAACUCAUUUUUAAAUUUUCAAUAUUUAAAUUACACGAAUUGUAUAUGCAUUGAAAUAUAGAAAUAGAAAAAGCAAGGAAAAACAAAAAUAAUAACCAACUCACCAAACAAACUAAGACUUCAAUUUUUUUGUACAGAAAUGUAGUUGAGUUCCAUUUCAUAGUUGAAUUUGUGCUUUAAUGUAUCAAAAAUAAUGUAUUGCGCAUGUUAGGUUGGAUAUCAAUGCCUGAAGCAUUUGAAGUUGUCAGAGUUUCCUGAGUUGGUGGACAUAUGGAAUGGAAAUCCUCAAGAAAUUUUGGACUUGAAAAACCUUGAAUUUCUAGAAUUUUGUAAUUCUGACAACUUGGGAUGCAUUUUUAACCUCUCUAUGGCCUUAAGCCUUGUUCGACUUCAACAGCUGGAAAUAAAGAAAUGCAACAAAAUGGAAGCAGUCAUCAAGGAAGAUGGAUCAGUACUUGAUCAGAAAACAAGAACAGAUAAGAUCAUCAUUUUCCCUUGUCUAAAAUCCAUUUUUAUUGAGCAUUGUCCUGAUUUGACAAGUUUUUGUUGGGGAAGUCCAAUUCUAAUGGAAUGUCCAUCCUUGAAAAUAAUUGAGGUAGCUCACUGCCCCAACAUGACUACUUUUGUCUCUAUAUUUCCAAGAGAUGAGGAGAAAAAUGCAAGAAUUGGUGAUGGAACUGAUAGAAAAGAGGAUGACCUUGAAAUCCUCCCUGCAUUUUUCUGUGAUAAGGUUAGUCUUUUUUUUUUUGUAUCUUUUCGUAAAUUUUUAUUUUUUUCAUUUAAUUUUCCUUUUAUUCUUGUAAAGUACCUGUUGUUCAAUCUAAACUCUAGUUGUGCAUCUUUCUCUCUACUAAAAUAAAAUUUUCUACCUAUAACUCACUUUGCCUUUUAUGUUUAACUAUAAAAUAAAUAAGGCCGCUUCUUCAUUCCAAAUAAAGAAGGAAUUUCAAAUGGGGUUAAUAUUGAAUAGUUUUUCAACCAAAAUUGCUACUUAUCUAUACCUAUAUUUAUACAUAUACUUAUAUAUAUGUAUAUUAUAAAAGUUUAUAGAUAAUGAUUUGGUCUAUUUUUAAUUGUUUUUUUUUUUUUUGGAAAGCCUCUAUUCUCAAUUGUUAUGAAAUACUAGGUUUUUGGUCGAUAAUAAAAUCCACCUUUCAAAAAGAAAUAUUUGCUCUAUUCUCAAUUAAUUAACAUUUAAAGACAAUAAAUAUAUCUCUAUUUAAGGGAAAAAUCUUUAAAAUUUUAAGUAUUAUAAGUGUUCUCUAUUUUAUUAUGUAAAGUUAUACUUAAAUCUAUUGAAAAAAGAUAUUCUUUGAUAAUAUUGAAAGCCAAACUCUAAAUAAACUAUUCAUAUGCUUACUUUAACCAUGUGACCAUCGUUUCAAACAUUAUAAUUAUAGUUUAUCAAAAGGAAAAAUGAACAUAAAAAAAUAGGACUAUGUUAUGCUUGUCCCUUUAUAAUAAUUUUGAUUUUUUUUAGAAUAUUUAUUACCAAUUGUUUUUAAUGUAAAUAAUUAAGAUGUUGUAUAAAAUACAAAGGAUAAUGGCAGUUCUGAAACAUUGUUCAAUGAACAGGUGGAUUCUUCUCAACCGCCUCUGCCUUUUUCAUUUUUCUAUUUGUUUUUUUUUCCCUUGUAGUUGGAAUUAUCUCUGCUUAUGAUCAUUUUCACAUUGGCUGGUAGGUUGUUUUUCCCAACUUGGAGAAAAUGACAAUCUCCCAUUUGAGAAACGUGAAGAGACUAUGGUUCAACCAAUUUCAUGCAGAUUCUUUUUGUAAGAUGAAAGAAUUGAAAGUUGAGUACUGUGAUGAAUUAUUGAAUAUUUUUCCAUCUUUCGUACUUGGAGUAUUUCAAAGACUAGAAAUGCUAAGAGUAACAGAUUGUGGUUCACUUGAAGAAGUGUUUGAACUUGGAGCCCAAGGGUUAGAAAUCAAAGAUACAUGUGUCCUGGCCUUACAAUUAAAAGAAUUGUAUCUCUAUCGUUUGCCAAAGUUGAAGCGUGUUUGGAAUAAGGAGCCGCAGGGAGAUAUUUCAUUUCAAACUCUACAUGUAGUAAAAGUUCGGGAGUGUUGGAGUUUGAAGAGUCUGUUUCCAUUUUCAAUAGCCAAAGGUCUUCCACAACUUGAAAGACUUUUAGUUCAACAAUGUGCGGUGGAGGAGAUUGUUUCAAAGAAUGAAGGAUUAGAACAGGAAAUUCGGCUUGAAUUUAAUCAGUUAUCCUUCCUUAAGCUUUGGAAAUUAACAAACCUCAAAUGUUUUUACCCAGGAAUGCACACCAUUGUGUGGCCGGUGUUAAAAAAUUUGAAGACACAUGGGUGUGAGGAGGUAAAGAUAUUUGGUCAAUUAGAAUCCCAUAUCGAACAAUCACUUUUUGUGAUUGAAA